GCUUAUCACCAUUCCAGAUUGAAUAUAUCCGAUCUCGUCUGGUCUCGGAAGUCAAGCAAUCUCGGGCUUGGUUAGUACUUGGAUGGGUGACCGCUUGGGAAUAC
rnacentral:rRNA from 1 species